GCUGGCGGCGUGCUUAACACAUGCAAGUCGGGUGCGCGUUCCGUAGCAAUACGGAAUGGCGCACGGCGCACGGGUGCGUAACACGUGGGCAAUCUGCCCUUCGAUGGGGAAUAACUCCGGGAAACCGAAGCUAAUUCCGCAUAACAUUCCUUGGACUUCGGUUCGAGGACUCAAAGCCGUAAGGCGUCGAAGGAGGAGCCCGCGCACGAUUAGCUAGUUGGUAGGGUAACGGCCUACCAAGGCUUUGAUCGUUAGCUGGUCUGAGAGGAUGGCCAGCCACACUGGAACUGAGACACGGUCCAGACUCCUACGGGAGGCAGCAGUGGGGAAUCUUGCACAAUGGGCGAAAGCCUGAUGCAGCGACGCCGCGUGGGGGAUGAAGCAUUUCGGUGUGUAAACCCCUUUCGACCCGGACGAAUGCCUCGCAAGAGGAGUGACGGUACGGGUAUAAGAAGCCCCGGCUAACUACGUGCCAGCAGCCGCGGUAAGACGUAGGGGGCCAGCGUUGUUCGGAAUUACUGGGUGUAAAGGGUUCGUAGGCGGUGUGGCAAGUUGGGAGUGAAAUCUCUGGGCUCAACCCAGAGGCUGCUUCCAAA
rnacentral:rRNA from 1 species